rnacentral:rRNA from 1 species
ACUCCUACGGGAGGCAGCAGUGGGGAAUAUUGCACAAUGGGCGCAAGCCUGAUGCAGCCAUGCCGCGUGUAUGAAGAAGGCCUUCGGGUUGUAAAGUACUUUCAGCAGUGAGGAAGGCGGGUACGUUAAUAGCGUGCUCGUUUGUACGUUAGCUGCAGAAGAAAGCACCGGCUAACUCCGUGCCAGCAGCCGCGGUAAUACGGAGGGUGCGAGCGUUAAUCGGUAAUUACUGGGCGUAAAGCGCAUGCAGGUGGUUUGUUAAGUCAGAUGUGAAAGCCCGGGGCUCAACCUCGGAAUUGCAUUUGAAACUGGCAGACUAGAGUACUGUAGAGGGGGGUAGAAUUUCAGGUGUAGCGGUGAAAUGCGUAGAGAUCUGAAGGAUACCGGUGGCGAAGCGGCCCCCUGGACAGAUACUGACACUCAGAUGCGAAAGCGUGGGGAGCAAACAGG